rnacentral:misc_RNA from 1 species
AAAAAUGGCUAAUAAAUAUAUUAUUAAUUAUCUGUUACCUUUUUAAAAAGUUAGAAUAUUUAUCAAUUAUCAAUUAUCUCCAAUAAUUAAAUCAAACAUCACAUAAGUCAAUAACAGAGCUAUUCGGAGAAUAUCAAACAUAAAUAUUUAAUUAUUGAAAUACCUGUUAGUUAUCGAAUGUCUUCAAUAGUUAAACCAAAUACCCUUCAUCACCUCUGCCUACGUCG